AAAUACUCGUAAUAUUGCUUCUUGUUUCUCACACCGCCCUCAUAAGAUCAGAAGAAGGGAGAAAAAGCUAUGGCUUUGCUGCUGGUUCUUCAUGGUGAGAUGAUAACAAGUCAACUAGAUUGUUGUUGCAUUUACUAAUAAACUUAAAGUGGGAUUGUUUGAUGACGAUUCUUAUCGACUAUCGAUUCCCCCAAAAUGAUGAAACUUUGGGGAAAUCCUGAAGUGAUUCAAAGUAAAGCUUAAGGUUUUGUGCAUCAUUAGAUUUUAGGAGGUUCGACUCAAAAUAACAAUGCAUAUGUCCGCUAGGGUAGCUCAUUCUAUAGAAUCCAAUGGUUCAAGUAACUCUACCUUUCAAUGUUCAUGGGAUUUUUGAAUGAGUGGAAAUAUGAUGCAAUUGUAUGGUUUAUGAAUUUGUUUGACUUGUGA